rnacentral:rRNA from 1 species
GAUGAACGCUGGCGGCGUGCUUAAUACAUGCAAGUCGAGCGGACGGACGAUACUCUUGCUUCUCUCAUGUUAGCGGCGGACGGGUGUGUAACACGUGUAUAAUCUACCUAUAAUUCGGAUAUAACUUGGGGAAACCGGCGCUUAUACCGUAUAAGAUUUUGAACCGCAUUGUUCAAUGGUAAAAUACGGUCUUGCGGUCAGUUAUAGCUGGAUAUCCGCUGCAUUAGAUAGUUGGUAAGGUAACGGCCUACCAAGGCAACGAUGCAUAGCCGAACGCAGAGAGUGGUCGGCCGCCCGGGAACGGAGACACGCUCAUGACUCCUACGGGAGGCAGCAGACGGGUAUCUUCCGCAAUGGGCGAAAGUCUGACGGAACAAGGCCACGUGAGUGAUGGAGACCUUGGGAUCGUGAAACUCUGUUAUUAGGGAAGAACCUCUGUGUCCGUAAACGAGCCCAGAUUGACGGUAACUAGUCAGAAAGCCCCGGCUAACUACGUG